GCGUGAGUGAAGAAGGCCCUAGGGUUGUAAAGCUCUUUCGGCGGGGAAGAUGAUGACGGUACCCGCAGAAGAAGCCCCGGCUAACUCCGUGCCAGCAGCCGCGGUAAUACGGAGGGGGCUAGCGUUGUUCGGAAUUACUGGGCGUAAAGGGCGUGUAGGCGGAUCGGCUAGUCAGGCGUGAAAGCCCCGGGCUCAACCUGGGAAUAGCGCUUGAUACUACCGAUCUUGAGUCCGGGAGAGGGUAGUGGAAUUCCCAGUGUAGAGGUGAAAUUCGU
rnacentral:rRNA from 1 species